UGGGGAAUUUUGGACAAUGGGGGAAACCCUGAUCCAGCCAUCCCGCGUGUGCGAUGAAGGCCUUCGGGUUGUAAAGCACUUUUGGCAGGAAAGAAACGUCAUGGGUUAAUACCCCGUGAAACUGACGGUACCUGCAGAAUAAGCACCGGCUAACUACGUGCCAGCAGCCGCGGUAAUACGUAGGGUGCAAGCGUUAAUCGGAAUUACUGGGCGUAAAGCGUGCGCAGGCGGUUCGGAAAGAAAGAUGUGAAAUCCCAGAGCUCAACUUUGGAACUGCAUUUUUAACUACCGGGCUAGAGUGUGUCAGAGGGAGGUGGAAUCCCGCGUGUAGCAGUGAAAUGCGUAGAUAUGCGGAGGAACACCGAUGGCGAAGGCAGCCUCCUGGGAUAACACUGACGCUCAUGCACGAAAGCGUGGGGAGCAAACAGG
rnacentral:rRNA from 1 species